rnacentral:rRNA from 1 species
CCUACGGGAGGCAGCAGUGAGGAAUAUUGGUCAAUGGACGAGAGUCUGAACCCGCCAAGUAGCGUGAAGGAUGACUGCCCUAUGGGUUGUAAACUUCUUUUAUAUGGGAAUAAAACGUUCCACGUGUGGGAUUUUGUAUGUACCAUAUGAAUAAGGAUCGGCUAACUCCGUGCCAGCAGCCGCGGUAAUACGGAGGAUCCGAGCGUUAUCCGGAUUUAUUGGGUUUAAAGGGAGCGUAGGUGGAUUGUUAAGUCAGUUGUGAAAGUUUGCGGCUCAACCGUAAAAUUGCAGUUGAAACUGGCAGUCUUGAGUACAGUAGAGGUGGGCGGAAUUCGUGGUGUAGCGGUGAAAUGCUUAGAUAUCACGAAGAACUCCGAUUGCGAAGGCAGUUCACUGGACUGCAACUGACACUGAGGCUCGAAAGUGUGGGUAUCAAACAGGAUUAGAUACCAGAGUAGUC